UUUCGGUCAGUGCCUUUGGGUGCUGCUGCAUUGCAGCCUUUAAUAAUCAGUUUGUUUCAAUUCUCAGAGUGAAAAUUUUAUGAAUAGUCUAUUAGGUACAUGUAGUAACCCAAUCUGUGAAAGUGAGAAGAGAUUCAAGAAAACGUUUUCCUACUGGUACUUCAGAGAAGAAAGGAUGAACUCAUCUCAGCAACUAUUUGCUUAGUUCCUGGAGAUUUACCUUUCUACAUCGAUGGUUCAAAGGCUGUCUGAACUUGCAGUGGACUCAAAUGUUCUGUAUUUUCAUCCAAGAGUUAUUUUACCAUUGAGAGAGAUUAAAAAAUACUGCGAACUGACACACUAAAUGAAGAACUAGAUGAAACCUACUAUUCAGUCUUUCUUCUAUUGUCUGGUAUGAAAUCUCAGCCAAGGCCUUUCAGCCUGUGUUGGUGGAUCAAAAUAACUUUGCCUUCCAUUUGCAUUGUUUUAAAGAAAUGAUUAAACAAUCAAGCUUAGGUGAUCCUUGGACAGGCUUACACAGAAUAAAUACAUCUCUGAAAAAUGAAAA